rnacentral:tRNA from 1 species
GCCGUAAUCUUCUAAUUGGAAUAGGAAACUUGAUUCUCAGUCAAGUAAUGUAAGUUCGAAUCUUGCUUACGGUA